rnacentral:tRNA from 1 species
GGGGCUGUAGCUCAGCUGGGAGAGCGCAGCGCUGGCAGCGCUGAGGUCAGGGGUUCGAUCCCCCUCAGCUCCACCA